CAAUUCUGGUUCUGCUCUCCGAUGUCCUGCAUCACCAAAAAUGGCAAAGAGAGAGCAGAUGAAAGCACAACUCCUUUCCUCUCUCACUCUCCUUCUAACUCCAGAAUUAAACCCAACACUCAACCUCUACCUCACCCUCCUCCUAUAUAUUGACAUCAUCUUCCUUCACAUUUUACUCACAUCCUAAAUUAACUACAUAUUUCAUUUGCAUCAUCAUCUAAACACAUUUUACAUGACUAUUCCCCGUUCUUUAAAAUUGAUCCGCCUCUUAAAAAAAGCUUGGAGCACCCUUAAACAAUCCAACGCUAGGAGAAACAAAAAUCAAAAGAAUAGAGCAACAGCAAGUUUACCAAUUGUACUCUCCCAAAUUCAAAAGCUUGAUACAAUCUAUGUCCAAACCGCGGCAGAUAUGGAGGUGGUGGAAGGAUGCAAAUACUGAAAGUUCUUUGGAAUCUCGGGGCGGAGACACUAGUGGGUAGAACUCUGACUCAAACAACGACAACGCCGGAACAAGCAACUGUGACUAGUAAUUUAAUUAUUAGUGGCUGUUAUGUAGUUUGAAAUCUGCAGACAUAAUAUUAUUUGUUUUAUUUUGGUGUGUAAUUUUAAGUCUUCGGACAUUAACACUCUUUGUUUUGUUUCGGUGUGUAAUUUUAAGUCUUUGGACAUUAACACUCUUUGUUUCAUUUCAAUGUGUAAUUGUGAUGUUUGAAGAGACUUUUAGUUUUUAUUUGA